ACUUCCUCGUGUGUUUAUUCCACUAAAGCAUGCUGUCUCAGCUUGCCAAAUUAUUAACAAAUGUUUUAAGCAGCAAAGGAAGAAAUAUGCCAUUUGCUGAUAAGGCAAAAYCAUUUGGACUGAUAGAAAUUAAAGAGGCAUGUGAAAGGUUCAAGCAAAAUAAGAGGGAGAAACUUAAUGUAAAUAUUGAUAAAAGUUAAGUAAUAUUGUAGUAAUUAAUAUACAUGUCUUAUAUAUUCCAUCUCUCUGGGAAACAGGCCUGCAAAAAGGACUACUAUCAGAAAAAAGCAGUUAAGGCAACAGGAAUCCAUACGAUGACCAACAGAAAGUUGCAGAACCACAUCUUUCAAAGACUUCUGAAUAGUAGGAUCCAGGCUCUUAUAUACAGUGUAUACAACCUCUAUGUUUAUGUAUAUUUUUUACUUAGCAAUCUAGGAAAAAUAUAAUUUGGAUCAAAUUCUGCCUUAUGUUAYGCCAUUGUGUUGCUUUGGACUUCAGUGACAAUGGAGUUCCAUCUUAUUCAUGUUAGUCUGUUAUAAGCACAUUCUAGCUCCAAAACUGUAGCUAAUUAAAAUAAUUGAUCUUUUUCUUGACGUCUGUCUUAAAUUGCUGGAUUUUGCUCCAGGCCUGCCACCUAGCAGAGUGCCUCUGGGAAACAAAAAACAGUAUCUCCUUAAAACUCUGUUAAGGAAACCUCCUCAGACAGAUGUGUUUCUCUCUUAACUGAGUACACUCCAAAACAUUCCACAUAUAUAAAAUACACUCUAAAAUGAAUCUCUAGAAAUUAUAUAAAGCGCAAAUAACAAAACAAGACCUCCCUAAACCAGCUUUUUGAGUUGUUAGCACAUGUACAUUAACUGUCCAAGGCAUUUGUUUUUUUCCCCUAAUAGCCCAUUGGAAAUGGUUACUCUGUGACAUGAACUUGCACCCACAUUGUUUCUAUUUUGUAUUCUUUUAUUUGUCUUUGUCACAAGCAACAACGUAGCUCACUCAAAAUCAAUAAAGGCAUGAACUCAUUUGGACUCUUUUAGGAC
rnacentral:lncRNA from 1 species